GAUGAACGCUAGCGGCAGGCCUAACACAUGCAAGUCGAGGGGCAGCACAAAUGAAGCUUGCUUUAUUGGUGGCGACCGGCGCACGGGUGCGUAACGCGUAUGCAACCUACCCUGUACUGGGGGAUAGCCCGGAGAAAUUCGGAUUAAUACCCCAUAGUAUUUAGUUAUCGCAUGAUAGAUAAAUUAAAGGUUACGGUACAGGAUGGGCAUGCGUCCUAUUAGCUAGAUGGUAAGGUAACGGCUUACCAUGGCAACGAUAGGUAGGGGGCCUGAGAGGGUGGUCCCCCACACUGGUACUGAGACACGGACCAGACUCCUACGGGAGGCAGCAGUGAGGAAUAUUGGUCAAUGGGGCGCAAGCCUGAACCAGCCAUGCCGCGUGCAGGAAGAAUGCCCUAUGGGUUGUAAACUGCUUUUAUUUGGGAAUAAACCUCUUUUACGUGUAGAGAGCUGAAGGUACCAAUGAAUAAGCACCGGCUAACUCCGUGCCAGCAGCCG
rnacentral:rRNA from 1 species